rnacentral:lncRNA from 1 species
UUGCCUUCACCAUAUGCAGCAAUGUGCUCUUUGUGCUUCAGGCCAAGCUUCUCAAUAGCCUUCAAAAUGACUUCAUAGCCUCCAUCUUCCCUCAUCGACUUGGUGCUGGAAAAAAAUUCAAAGGUUUUUAACUCAUAGGAAAAGAUAGAUAUGAAGAUAAAAGUUGAAUGAAUUAAAUGUUAUGCUCUACCUUUCCAAAGUUUUACUCAUAGGAACAGAUGGAUAUGAAGAUAAAAGUCGAAUAAAUAAGUGUUAUUCCUCUUACCUGUAGUUUGUGUGAGCACCUGCACCGUUCCAAUCGCCCUGAUAACAAAGAAAAUAUUCAUCGUUAAUACACACCUUAUUCCAAAUGAUAACAGUUCAUACCAGCAACGUAAGUAAUCCCAUAGGCGGAGACCAGAUUGUAUCCAACAUGUUUCCACAAUCAAAUCAAAGAACUUGUAAGGUACAUAGUAGAAAACUCACCGGAAUAGGCUUGGGGUCAAAUGACACAACCACUCCAGCAAUCUCCGCAAUCCUCUGUUUAACCACCAAGUCAAUAAGUAAUUUGCAUUCAAGCUCAACAAAAAUAGCAAGAGAAUUGGAUUAAAACGGACCAAAUGGUCGAUAAAUGUCAUCAGUUAAUAGCUGACAAUACCUCAAGAAUGUAACGAGCUACCCACACUUCAUCACCAGCUGAGAUGCCAACAGAAGGUCCGACUUGGAAUUCCCACUGCAUAAGUUUAAGCAAAAACACAUUAACAACAACAACAACCCAGUAUAAUCCUACUUAGUAGGGUCUGGGGAGGGUAGUGGGUACGCAGACCUUACCCCUACCCUUGGGUAGAGAGUCUGUUUCCAAAUAGACCCCCGGCAUACUUCCCUCCAAGAACUUCCCACCUUGCUCUUGGGCAGACUCGAACUCACAACAUCUCAGUUGGAAGUGGGGGUUGCUUACCAUCAGAGCAGAAACACGUUAAAUAUUUGUGAAAUCGUUCAAUUAUGGUUAGAUGGGAAAACAAGAACGCCUCUAUACCUG